UACGUAGGGUGCGAGCGUUACUCGGAAUUACUGGGCGUAAAGCGUGCGCAGGCGGUUUUGUAAGCCAGGUGUGAAAUCCCCGGGCUCAACCUGGGAAUGGCAUUUGGGACUGCAAGGCUGGAGUGCGGCAGAGGAGACUGGAAUUCCUGGUGUAGCAGUGAAAUGCGUAGAUAUCAGGAGGAACACCGAUGGCGAAGGCAGGUCUCUGGGCUGACACUGACGCUCAUGCACGAAAGCGUGGGGAGCAAACAGG
rnacentral:rRNA from 1 species